rnacentral:rRNA from 1 species
UACUCGAGUGGCGAACGGGUGAGUAACACGUGGGUGAUCCGCCCUGCACUUCGGGAUAAGCUUGGGAAACUGGGUCUAAUACCGGAUAGGAACCAUCUUUAGUGUGGUGGUUGGAAAGUUUUUUCGGUGUAGGAUGAGCUCGCGGCCUAUCAGCUUGUUGGUGGGGUAAUGGCCUACCAAGGCGGCGACGGGUAGCCGGCCUGAGAGGGUGUACGGCCACAUUGGGACUGAGAUACGGCCCAG